GAUGAACGCUGGCGGCGCGCUUAACACAUGCAAGUCGAACGAAACACCUUAUUUGAUUUUCUUCGGAACUGAAGAUUUGGUGAUUGAGUGGCGGACGGGUGAGUAACGCGUGGGUAACCUGCCCUGUACAGGGGGAUAACAGUCAGAAAUGACUGCUAAUACCGCAUAAGACCACAGCACCGCAUGGUGCAGGGGUAAAAACUCCGGUGGUACAGGAUGGACCCGCGUCUGAUUAGCUGGUUGGUGAGGUAACGGCUCACCAAGGCGACGAUCAGUAGCCGGCUUGAGAGAGUGAACGGCCACAUUGGGACUGAGACACGGCCCAAACUCCUACGGGAGGCAGCAGUGGGGAAUAUUGCACAAUGGGGGAAACCCUGAUGCAGCGACGCCGCGUGAGUGAAGAAGUAUUUCGGUAUGUAAAGCUCUAUCAGCAGGGAAGAAAAUGACGGUACCUGACGAAGAAGCCCCGGCUAACUACGUG
rnacentral:rRNA from 1 species